rnacentral:rRNA from 1 species
UACAGAGGUCCCGAGCGUUUGUUCGGAUUCACUGGGCGUAAAGGGUGCGCAGGUGGCUUGGCAAGUUUGAUGUGAAAGCUCAGGGCUUAACCCUGAAAUGGCAUUGAAUACUGUUGAGCUGGAGGUUUGGGAGGGGGACUGGAAUUCUUGGUGUAGCAGUGAAAUGCGUAGAUAUCAAGAGGAACACCAGUGGCGAAGGCGAGUCCCUGGACAACACCUGACACUGAGGCACGAAAGCUAGGGGAGCAAACAGG